CCGGCCUUUCAGAGGCGCGGGGCCGUGAGAUGCGGGGUGGGGCUUGCGCCCUCCCUGGAAUCGGGGCUGGGAUCCCGACUGCGGCCUUUGGCCGUGCCGCCCCGCUGCCUGGCUGCUGAGAGUUGCUCCUGCCGCUGGGGGGGAAACCGAGCUCUGUGGCUCCAGGGGUGUUGUCCACCCGCCUGUAAUCAGGGUCUGGGUGCGUGAGCGUUUGUGCUCUGCUGGCAGCCUGUGUGGGGUGACCGCCCCGCUAGCGGGGUGUGGGUCGAGGUGCCCCGGACUGGGAGAGAAGGAGCCUCCCUCGGCCGUAGGGAUGGGGGCUGCCCUGUAAGUCAGGGAGCAUCUGUGUCCCGGAGUCCCAGGCCCUUUUCGAUGGCGGCAGUGGCCGGGGGUCCCCUGUAAGCAGGGAAGCUGACUCUUUGGCUGCUGCUUUUUGUGUGCCCAGCCCCAUUUGCCCAGUCUGCCCGCCUCUGUGAUCCCCCGCAGCACUGGCUGGAAGUCCGCUGCGUGUCAGUGAGGAGCUGCUGCAGAAGGAAGAAGAAGAAGCAGCGGCGUGGGGACCUGGGAGGCAGGAGCAAGCAAGAAGAGGAAGCGGAAGCGUGCAGAUGUGGGGGGGAAGGAGAGAGGCUCCCUGGGCAAAGCACCUGUCCCGUUAGCAGGGGCACAGUCACGUUUGAGUUGAGAGCUGCCGGCGCCUUUGGUGACCAGGCUGGCGUUGUGCUGGGCGACCUCCCCGUAAGCGGGGCUCGGGUCUUUGCUGUAGUUGGCCUUUUGCCUUGCUGCUCCUUUGGCUGCCUGGGGAGCGUGGCCCCCUGUAACGGAGGGCAAGAGCCACCUCUCCGCACCUGAGUGGGAAAUGGAGCUCGCUGGACCCCAAGGCCACCCUGUAAGCAGGGUAGUGCCGUUUCCCUGCCCCUCUUCCUCCCCCGGCCCCUCGGCAUCGUUGCCUGAUGGUGGCUUGUCAAUGCGACGGCCCCGUACUCGGGGUGUGUGUCCCAAGCUUUGGAGCCCUCUGUCCCUGAG
rnacentral:lncRNA from 1 species